CCCAACCCGCGAGGGGGAGCCAAUCCCAUAAAGCCAGUCGUAGUCCGGAUCGUAGUCUGCAACUCGACUACGUGAAGUCGGAAUCGCUAGUAAUCGUGGAUCAGAAUGUCACGGUGAAUACGUUCCCGGGUCUU
rnacentral:rRNA from 1 species